UACGUAGGGCGCAAGCGUUGUCCGGAUUUAUUGGGCGUAAAGAGCUCGUAGGCGGUUUGUCACGUCUGCUGUGAAAACCCGAGGCUCAACCUCGGGCUUGCAGUGGGUACGGGCAGACUAGAGUGCAGUAGGGGAGACUGGAAUUCCUGGUGUAGCGGUGAAAUGCGCAGAUAUCAGGAGGAACACCGAUGGCGAAGGCAGGUCUCUGGGCUGUAACUGACGCUGAGGAGCGAAAGCAUGGGGAGCGAACAGG
rnacentral:rRNA from 1 species